rnacentral:rRNA from 1 species
GCGGCGGUCCUAUAAUGCAGUUGAGCGAUGGAUUAGAGCUUGCUCUUAUGAAGUUAGCGGCGGACGGGUGAUUAAAAGUGGGUAACCUGCCCAUAAGACUGGGAUAACUCCGGGAAACCGGGGCUAAUACCGGAUAACAUUUUGAACUGCAUGGUUCGAAAUUGAAAGGCGGCUUCGGCUGUCACUUAUGGAUGGACCCGCGUCGCAUUAGCUAGUUGGUGAGGUAACGGCUCACCAAGGCAACGAUGCGUAGCCGACCUGAGAGGGUGAUCGGCCACACUGGGACUGAGACACGGCCCAGACUCCUACGGGAGGCAGCAGUAGGGAAUCUUCCGCAAUGGACGAAAGUCUGACGGAGCAACGCCGCGUGAGUGAUGAAGGCUUUCGGGUCGUAAAACUCUGUUGUUAGGGAAGAACAAGUGCUAGUUGAAUAAGCUGGCACCUUGACGGUACCUAACCAGAAAGCCACGGCUAACUACGUGCCAGCAGCCGCGGUAAUACGUAGGUGGCAAGCGUUAUCCGGAAUUAUUGGGCGUAAAGCGCGCGCAGGUGGUUUCUUAAGUCAGAUGUGAAAGCCCCGGGCUCAACCUGGGAAUUGCAUUUGAAACUGGCAAACUAGAGUACUGUAGAGGGGGGUAGAAUUUCAGGUGUAGCGGUGAAAUGCGUAGAGAUCUGAAGGAAUACCGGUGGCGAAGG